AGCGAACGCUGGCGGCAGGCCUAACACAUGCAAGUCGAACGAACCUUUCGGGGUUAGUGGCGGACGGGUGAGUAACACGUGGGAACGUGCCUUUAGGUUCGGAAUAACUCAGGGAAACUUGUGCUAAUACCGAAUGUGCCCUUCGGGGGAAAGAUUAAUCGCCUUUAGAGCGUCCGGCGUGUGGUUAGCUAGUUGGUUGAGGUAAUGGCUCACCAAGGCGACGGUCAUUAGCUGGUCUGUGAGGCAGAUCAGCGACAGUGGGACUGAGACACGGUCCAAACUCCUACGGGAGGGAGCAGUGGGGAAUGUAGCGCAAUGGGCGAAAGGCUGACGCAGCCAUGCCGCGUGAAUGAUGAAGGGCUUAGGAUUGGAAAAUUCUUGAAUCGGGGAAGAUAAUGACGGUACCCGGAGAAGAAGCCCCGGCUAACUUCGUG
rnacentral:rRNA from 1 species